CAAAUAGACUACCCUGGUAGUCCUAGCAGUAAACGGUGCACGUUUGGUGUGGGCAGGUUCAGACCCUGUCCGUGCCGGAGCUAACGCGUUAAACGUGCCGCCUGGGAAGUACGGUCGCAAGAUUAAAACUCAAAGAAAUUGACGGGGGCCCGCACAAGCGGUGGAGUAUGUGGCUUAAUUCGAUGCAACGCGAAGAACCUUACCUGGUCUUGACAUGCACUGUGUCGUCGGUGAAAGCCGGCUAGUUGGUAGCAAUAUCAACACUUUGCACAGGUGCUGCAUGGCUGUCGUCAGCUCGUGUCGUGAGAUGUUGGGUUAAGUCCCGCAACGGGCGCAACCCCUGUGUCCAGUUGCCCGCAAGGGAUCUCUGGACAGACUGCCCUGUGAAACGGGGAGGAAGGUGGGGAUGACGUCAAGUCAGUAUGGCCCUUACGGCCAGGGCUGCACACGUACUACAAUGCUCAGUACAGAAUGAACCGAAUCCGCGAGGUAGAGGAAAUCUCAAAAACUGAGCCCAGUUCGGAUUGGAGG
rnacentral:rRNA from 1 species